CACGGGGGGAGCAAGCGUUGUUCGGAAUCACUGGGCGUAAAGGGCGUGUAGGCGGUCAAGUAAGUGGAAUGUGAAAGCCCCCGGCUUACCCGGGGAUCUGCAUCCCAAACUGCUUGGCUUGAGUACGGGAGAGGAUGGAGGAAUUCCUGGUGUAGUGGUGAAAUGCGUAGAUAUCAGGAGGAACACCGGUGGCGAAGGCGUCCAUCUGGCCCGAUACUGACGCUGAGGCGCGAAAGCUAGGGGAGCGAACGGG
rnacentral:rRNA from 1 species